CCUGACGCGGUUGUGCGCUGGGCCUGCCCGCACUCCGUUCCCUGGGGUCCUCCAGGGCGGAGAGGCAGAGUCUUCAGCCGGGAGUGCGACCGGUUCACUUUCUCUGGGGUGCAAGAAAACUGCCUAGGGAGUAGAAGUAGGGUCGAGCCUGCACCCGGCCCCCUUCUUCGCAGCUCAGGGGGACAGUAUGAGCCCGAGAAGCCACGCCCACCGCGUAAGGGGCUCCGCCCAGCACGGCUGCUUUGGGGGCGCGGUUCUCCUCUCUGUCUGCAAGGAACCACCUUACCUGCCCGGUGCAACUGCCUUUGCGGCGGGAUGUUCCUACGGGCUGAUCUCCUCCCAGCUCUUCCGCCUUUAUAUGUAAUCGGAGUAAACAACGUAUUAGGAAGGAGCAGAGAGAGUCUUGUACCUGAUUCGAACCCUAAAUGGUGGAGACAGAACAAAACUUGGCAGAAUUCUGACUCUUCACACAUCUGGUUUGUUUCUCUUAGUUCACUUGAGUUCUGCUGGCAGUGAAAGUCUGACUACUUGCUGGAAAUCCCUCCUUCCAACUGGAAACUGUUUUGGGAAGUGUUAGCUGCAGGAGUUGGGAGUCUGUAUGGAGGGAAUGGCCUUGGUAGGAUCAGGUAGACUGGGAAGCUCUUACAGUGUACGAUCAGUCUCUAAGAAAAUGGGGGUAGACUCAGUGGAAUGGGGAAAUCUCAGGGAGUCUUUUAGUAGUGAAUAGGGUGAACUCUGGGACCAGAGCCUACACAUCAGAAGUUUGAAGGUGACAUCCAUUUUAAGGAGGGAGGUGUGUCUGAGUCUAAUUUAUGCAUAUCUUUUUCUGACAUGUUGCAGUUUGUGAGCCCUGAGAGUAAUAGAGCCAGUUUAAUAAUUUAGGGCUGAGAUGCCUAGGAACAUCAGAAUUGGAAUAUGAGAUUAGACCUAUGGUCUGUCUAGUUCAGCAUCCUAUCUCUGACUGGCCAGCACCCACAUGCUUCAGAAGAAGAUGCAAGAAACUCCACAGUAGGCAGAUGUGGGAUAAUCUGUCCCUCUCCCAUGAAAAUCUCAUGCAAAUCCCUAAAACUGGUUUAAACCCAGAAGCAUGAGGUUUUAUAUUCUGUCCAAAAUUUUUGUUAGCAUUAACUAUUAACCAUAUAAAUGUCCAGUCCUUUUUGAAUCUUUCUAAAGUCUUAAUGACAGCCUGUGACAAUGAGUUCCACGGUCUAAUUUUGUUUUUUUUAAGUGUAAGAGGUUUUCCUGGGUUUCCCUAGCCACAUUUCCAUCUCUCUCAUUCUGCUUGUAGAGUGCCAUGUAAUUGGUUGGUUGCCACCUUCCCCAGAGGUGACAACAUUUGAGUGGGGUCAUGGAUAGAUCUAGGACUCAGUCCUGUGAGCUCAUGAGCUUCCUCAGUCAAAAGAAGUUGAUAGUGAAUGCUGGGUUUGGAUAUGUUUAGAUAUUUAUUUAAAAAUCUGGCGUGGUAAAUGUAACUUUUGUUUCAAAUCAACUUGGUUUUUGUCAAUAGGAAGAUGAGGUAUGGGAUCUGUGCAUAGAGAGAUAACUGCACUCCUCACAGGUCCUGAGGUUGCUACUCUGUUGUCUCCCUCAUUACCUGGAAAUGCUGAAUUUAACAGAAGAUGCUAUUGGCAUUUAAAAUGGAUGUGCCAAUCCAGCAAUGCAUGUAUCUCAUUAGCUUGUUUUUAUUACUCCUUCUUGCUCAAGAAAUAUCCAGUAGUAGCUUCUAUGUGAUUCUUCAGUCCAAAAAAAAAGGAAAAAAAAGAGGGAAACUCCCCUCCUCCCCAAAUUUACCUGCAGAGUGAUCUCCUUCCAGUGCUGGGGGAGAACAUGAGAGAAACACACUUACAGGGACUGUGGAAAGGAGGGGAUACGCAUGCAUGCACACAGCUUGUCUUUUUGUCUAUAAAGGCCAGACUUUAUCUGCCUUGGGGGAAGGGAAACAAGCUAGAGGCCCAAUCCUGCAGUCCUAACUUCAGUGGAACUACUGGGGUGAGGAGGAUCACACCCUAAUUUAACACAACUAUAUUUCUAUUCCCUCUUUUACACACCCAGAUAUACAUAUUGAAGCCUUGAAAACCAACUGCUUUUCCCAUUGCUGUUUCAGUUCCACAAAACUCGUGUCACUUCACAGGGAUGUGCUACUUCUGAGGAACAACAAAGGAGAUUAAAGAAACCAGAAGCUCAAGAUUCUUUUAGGAAAGCCUGCAGGGGGACAAAAGAACAUUCAAAACAUCCAAACAUGCUGAGACAAAAUGCUAAAUGGAUGUUUCACUGUAACACCAAACACAAUGUCAAAACCAUCUGUCAGGGAGAAAACUUGUCACCUGUUGAUAUGACUUGUCCCUUCCCUCUUCUCUGUCUGAGCCCUGGUCUACACUACGAGUUUAGGUCAAAUUUAGCAGUGUUAGAUCGAUUUAACCCUGCACCCGUCCACACAACAAAGCAAUUUUUGUCAACUUAAUGGGCUCAUAAAAUCGAUUUCU